rnacentral:rRNA from 1 species
CGCAAGCCUGACGGAGCCAGACCGCGUGAGGGAAGAAAGCCUUUGGGUUGUAAACCUCUUUUCUCAGGGAAGAAACCUGACGGUACCUGAGGAAUCAGCAUCGGCUAACUCCGUGCCAGCAGCCGCGGUAAGACGGAGGAUGCAAGCGUUAUCCGGAAUUAUUGGGCGUAAAGCGUCCGCAGGUGGCGAUUCAAGUCUGCUGUCAAAGCACGGGGCUUAACUCCGUUAAGGCAGUGGAAACUGAAUGGCUAGAGUGCCGUAGGGGUAGAGGGAAUUCCCGGUGUAGCGGUGAAAUGCGUAGAGAUCGGGAAGAACAUCGGUGGCGAAAGCGCUCUACUGGACGGCAACUGACACUCAGGGACGAAAGCUAGGGGAGCG